GCCGCGCAAGUCCGUCGGGAAAUCCGCUCGCUCAACGGGCGGCCGUCCGGCGGAAACUGCGUGGCUUGGGACCGGGAGGCCUGAGGGGUACGAUCGGGGUAUGAGUGAAAUCCUGUAAUCCCGCUCGGACCGCCGAUGGGGAAACCACCUCAGGAACACGGAUCCGACAGUGAGGGACGAAAGCCAGGCUCUCGAACCGG
rnacentral:rRNA from 1 species